UUUGUGACAGAGCUCUGAAGCUCAAGAGUCUGGUAGCUGUGAGUGUACUGCUCCGCACAACACAUUCUAUGGUCCCAUACUAGCAGAGACUUGAAUAGGGCUGGGCCUGCCUCCUGCCCUGUCAUGGCCAAUCAGAUUGUGGCUGCUGAUGUCAUGGAGUUCACCGCCUUUUGAGAAGGUUCUCCUGAUUCUUGAGGGAUUUCCCUGAUCCAAGCUCACCACUGCAAGGUUCAGUAGUGAGUGGGGGUUGCAGUACCCGAGGUUUUGCUCAUCUGUCUAGUAUGGGGUUUACAUCAAAUUUUGUCCCAUGGCUAACGGAAAAGGCAUUUGAUGACUCAUGAAUCCAGCCCUAAAGAAGCUGCUUCAACAUUUCUGUUGAAGCCAGGAAGGGCCAGCUAGGUCCAUCUCGCCCAGCAUUUCCUCUGGUCAUAAUGGCCAAACAGAUGUUUCCUGGAAGCCCACAACCAGGGCAUGAAGGUGUGAGAGACUCUGCCUAUGCCAAAUCCAACCAAACUUGUGGUUUGGGAGUCAGCAGGAAAGGAAAUGGAAGAAUAUCAUCUGUGUGUAAUAUACUUUUUACUUUCAAAGAUCUCAGGUUGUUUUUUUUAAAAGCAUGUUUCUUGUCCUCAGUGAUGAGCUAUUCCAGAGCUGGGGAAAUGCACCUCAUCUGCUGAUUUCCCCACAGUUAAUGGUGGACCAAUCCCCUACGACCAAGAAAAGAGGCUUCAGGUAGCCUGAGAGGGAUGAUCAGUGACUAGAAGCACAGCAAGCUGAUCCCAUGCAACUGGAAGUUAGCAAUGCUGACACACCUUACAUGCAAAUGGGGGGAACUGGAAUCAUGUCAAAUUGGGAAGACAAGCAAAAUGGUAAGCUUAAUAGAUUUAGAUCCAGAAUCAGCCCUAUAUAAAGCUGGAGUAGGUGUGAGAUUCGAGGUAAGAAGGAAUGCUUACAUCACAACACUGGUAUGUUGUCUUACUCAAUGGGCCAGUUCACAGGAUAGGAGAGGGAUCAGCAGGUACCAGGGUGCUGUGCUAUUACAUCAUCACAGUUGUGGAGAUGACUUUGAACAGGUGAAGCCUCCAGGCUCAAGGUGAAGCCUCCAGGCUCAAGGGACCACAGUGUCUGUGCUCUGCAUGGUUGCUUGCCCUUCUUUGACAGGGCUGGCCCUACGAUGAAACAGGGUGAACUGGGUUGCUUUGGGAGGCAGAAAGUGAGCCAGUUCUCUAGGGCAUCAGAGCAGUCCCCCAAGCACCCUCAUGCUGUGGAGAUGGGCUGCUCAACUUCAGCCCUCCUGCAGAUGUCGGUCUACAAAUUCUAUAAUCCCUGGCUGUUGUGAGUUGUAGUCUAAAAGCAGCUGUGGGGCCAAAGUUGAGUAGGCCUGCUGUAGAGGAAGAACUGGAAAUGGCACCCAUGGUACUUUUCCUAUUCCUUUCCUCUUAAAAAGGGAUGGAAGGGGAAUAGGUCUGAAAGAAGAAAAGAACUGGGGUAUGUUUUUAAUAGAAAGGGAAUGUGGUGGGGAACAGGGGGCACCAUUUGAUGCUCUGCUUCAGGCAGCAAAACGUCAUGGGCCAGCAUUGCUCUCCAACCACUUCUGCCUGCUUAGACCGGGAUCCCUUGUAAUCUCAA